ACCAACGCAAAUCGAAACUAGCUGAUCAAUUUCGAAAAAUCCGCGUUUUCCCACAGUGAUAUAUAUAUUACGCAAUCUGACCCGUCUUCAACGCUCAGAAAUCCAACCUUAGUCCAACAAUAGCCACCGCCAGAAUAAGGUUGAUCCAUAACGUUUGACUAUAAGUUUGGCAAGGGCCACAUUCAGCAGUGCAUGGGGAGUCCAUAGCGUCUGCAGCUGCAUCAAGAGGAUUUACAUCGUAUAGAACAGUUACAAUGGAUGAGUUUAGUAGUUCUUCAGAAUGGCGUCACUCGACGGGAAUCAAAACGAGAUACAUUACAUACGUCUCCAUAUGCUUAUUAUGGAAGCGCGGAAGUUUCUGCGAGCCAAGUUUGACUCUAUAAUUAAACCUCCUGAUUUAACUAACACGAUGAUGAGAGUACAUGGAACAAUAGAUAAGCUGAAGAAAUAUAGGAUUAUCUCAAAUGAACAAUAUAAACUGUUAAAUCCCAAUCCUAAUUCUGAAAAGUUUGAUACCACUUUGUUGGUGUGUCUUCUUCAAAACAUCUGUAAUUUAAACCCUAGAGACAAAGUGUGGGCUGAGAAAGAUAAUACUAACAUUAAAGGUAAUACAGACCAGGACAAUAUCCAGCGUAUCAGGAAUUUGAGAAACAAAAUGCAGCACAAAAACGUUGCAAGCAUAGAGCAGCAUGAAUUUGAUAUCAUCUGGAAUGAUUUAGAAAA